rnacentral:rRNA from 1 species
UACGUAGGGGGCGAGCGUUGUCCGGAAUUAUUGGGCGUAAAGCGCGCGCAGGCGGCUGUUUAAGUCUGGUGUUUAAUCCUGGGGCUCAACCCCGGGUCGCACUGGAAACUGGACAGCUUGAGUGCAGAAGAGGAGAGUGGAAUUCCACGUGUAGCGGUGAAAUGCGUAGAGAUGUGGAGGAACACCAGUGGCGAAGGCGACUCUCUGGGCUGUAACUGACGCUGAGGCGCGAAAGCGUGGGGAGCAAACAGG